AUUCCAAAGCUGUACCUAUUCAUGUAAAGAAACAAAAUGGAGAAGUAUAAUAGAAUGAAGAGAAAGUUAGCAGCAAACAACAUGCACUUUUAAGUUUCUGUGUAAUAGAAUGAAGAGAAAGUUAAUAUUAUAUACUUAUUGGUUUAUGUAUCUAAAAAUUUACCUCUGUUUUACUAACAAUAUUUUUUUAAGGACCUGUUGAUAUGCCCCUGAACAGGAGACAAAUUUGCUAAACUGAAAAAAAAAUAUAUAGAUGAAUGGUGAAAAAGAGCAAUGGAAGGGAAAUUGAAAGGUAUAUUGAGAGAUGGGCUUCAAACUCGAAAGCGCUGAGGGGAGAGAGCCGAAGGCGCCUAGGGAGGAGAACCGGAGAGGCUGUGAGAUAGAGAGAGACGAUGAGAGCAUCGAAGCAGAGCCAGACCCGCCGAAGGAAGUGAAGCCGAGACGCCGAGGCUGCGAAACAGAGAAAGACGAUGAGAGAAGAAGUCCGAGGCUGAGAGAGACGGCGACAGAGAAAAUGGGUAGGGUUAGGUUGUUCUGGGUGUGUCAUGUGUGUAUAUAUUAAAAUUUGUUUUAAAAAAUAGGAUAAAGAUUAUUAGUUUACAUUGAUUGAUUGAGAUUAAUAAUUAUUUAGUAAUAAUCUAUCUAUAUAUAAUAACAUUAUCCUCCUUCUAAAGUUUUCCGCCCAAAGUUAGUGGCAUUUUGGUAAAA